rnacentral:lncRNA from 1 species
UUGAUGAUUCUGUGUUUAGACCCAUAGGUGAUCGUCGAAGAAGACUCCGUGAUAAACAAACAUAUCAUCAGUUGAAAGAGGAUUUGAUUGAGAAUAUAUGGUAUUCAUUUAAUAAAAUGUUUUGUGCUUUCAUUUUAAUGUUUGUAUCUUUUUAAGUUUAUGUUUUUAAUUUAUAUGUUUCUAUCUUAUAUGUUUCUAAUUUUUAUCUUUAUUAUUUUUAAUUUGUUAUUAUUUGUUUAUAUUUUGUUUUAUAAAGUUUGUUUGUGUUUUGUUUAAA